AGCAAGGUGAAGAGCCUACUUUCCCUAAAACAUGCACCAGGCUUAAUUUUCUAUAAUAUAAGAAUUAAAUUGCAAUUUUUCUUAAAAAAAUAGUAAUAACAAAGGCUAAUUGCUUUCUGUAGGAGAAAGCAGGCUGAUUAUUAGAAAUAUUGAGAAUAUUAAAAAAUAAUAUUUUUUUAAAAAAAUAUUUUUUAUAAUAAAAAAUAAAUUUAUAUAAUUAUAAAAAAUAAUAUAUAUGGACCGAAAAACAGUUUCUUGGAAAAGUGAUGUGUUCAGGAACUAUGGGUAAUGUAUAUCGCUACGGAACAACGUUAGGCAAAUACGCCCAUAUCAGGCAGUUGACUUCCAUCCCAUGCAUUAAAAACAAAGGUUUAACCUGCACCUACUCCACCGUCAAAGACUCCAAUUCCCAGCUCACGUUAGUAGAAACAGUAGCAAUUCACUAACAUGCGCACACAUAAAACCGACAGGAAAUAAAGAAGAGGCAUAGAAGAGAAAUAAUUAUUAGGUGCACUUUGAUGUGCUAAAAAAUAGUAUUUCUUUUAUCACAUAAAGUAAAUUUAAGAAGUAAAUUAAUAUGAUUAUGAUUGUGAGAGAAUAUAUAUGUGCACCAGGUGCACUUAAUAAUUCCUCCUAAAAGAGUAGAGCUGAAGAGAACUCACAGUAACGAGCAUUGGCGAGGCUG
rnacentral:misc_RNA from 1 species